UAUAAACUCUUGAAUAUUUUUCAUGUUUAAAAAUUUUGUAAUGCGACCACAAACUAGUAAAUAAGCAAUUCCAAAUUUACAAUGCUUUGAAUUCACAGGGCUUCCCAUGUCUCUCAUCAUUUGCCUCCCACAUACCGUCCUCCGUCUUCCACUCUCUAGAGCGCAGCAAUGGAAGGGCACGACACAAUCGCUUCAUUUCAAUAAACAAAUCUCUCCUUACAAGUCUUCAAGUGCAAAUUUAUGCACGACCCAUUAUCAGUCGAAUGAUCGGAAUUUUCCCCCAAACUUCCUCCUCAUAUUUAUCAAACAGAAGCAUAGGCGCUAAUUCAGAAGACAAAUUUAGAUCUACAAGGUAGAACACACACACACACACCCAUUGAUAAUUAGAAAAAAAGUUAUCCAGAUCUAGCAGAGAAAAGAAAUAAAAUUAAAGAUAAAUCCCAUAUUUACCCAGAAAAUAAAACAAAAAAGAAUCUGCGAGGUAGGCGACGAGGCUCAGAUCAGAAGUGUUUCUCAACCAGACAAGAAAAGAAGACCCCUUCUUGGCUGCAGCAAUGAAUGAGCUGCAAAAUGA